rnacentral:rRNA from 1 species
CGGGGGGUAUUGCACAAUGGGCGAAAGCCUGAUGCAGCGACGCCGCGUGGGGGAUGAAGGCCUUCGGGUUGUAAACUUCUUUUGCUCUGAACAAGGCGCACCAUGGGGUGUGUUGAGUGUAGGGGUUGAUUAGCGCCGGCUAACUACGUGCCAGCAGCCGCGGUAAUACGUAGGGCGCGAGCGUUGUCCGGAAUUAUUGGGCGUAAAGGGCUUGUAGGUGGCUGGUUGCGUCUGUCGUGAAAGCUCAUGGCUUAACUGUGGGUUUGCGGUGGGUACGGGCUGGCUUGAGUGCAGUAGUGGAGGCUGGAAUUCCUGGUGUAGCGGUGGAAUGCGCAGAUAUCAGGAGGAAUACCGGUGGCGAAGGCGGGUCUCUGGGCUGUUACUGACACUGAGGAGCGAAAGCAUGGGGAGCGAACAGG